AACAUACUCCCUCCGUCCGGAAAUACUUGUUUGAGAAAUGAAUGUAUCUAGAUGCAUUUUAAUUCUACAUACAUCCAUUUUUCUACAUUUCUAUGACAAGUAAUUCCGGAUGGAAGGACUAAUAG
rnacentral:pre_miRNA from 1 species